CUAGAUAUAUAUACAAUAUCUAUUUUUUGCAUAGCAAACAGAAACGUUAGUCUUUUGUGAUAACAAUAAUCUUAACUUGUACUCAAUUAUAAGCAUUCAUACAUCUAUGCAUUGCAUAGAAAAAUAUCGGUGAAUAUUCGACAAAUAAUGCAAAUAUUUCUGUAUACAAAAUAAGCACACACAAACAAAUGAAUACACAUUAUACUAUACUGUAUAAAGCACCACUGAAGAACACAUUUAUGGUGAUUCACUGUAUGCCUUCAUGAGAGCAAUGUUUUGAAUAAACACUUCUUAAGAAAGGAUUUGUGAAAAAAAUAAAAAUAUUUGUAAAAAUUCAAAUUAUUUUUUUCUUUCUCAAAUUCACUGAUUCACAAAAAAAUAAAUAACAAGAAUGUGUCCAUAGUACAAGGAUGCCCAAUCCGCGCUAUCAUUUUGUAUGUUCAGUGGACAGUGAAAUUGGGGUCAAAACUCUGAUUUAGCAUUAAAAUUAGAAAGAUCAUAUCAGAGGGAACAUGUGUACUAACAUUUAAUUUGAUUGAACUUCACCUUCAUCAAAAACUACCUCUACCAAAAACUUUAACCAGAGUGGGACAGACAGACAGACGAACAGACAGAUGCACAGACCAGUAAACAUAAUGCUCAUAAAUGGGGCAUAAAAAUGGUAAAAAAUUUAAUUACAUUGUAUAUCUUCGUAAUUUUUUUUUCUCUUUAGAAAAGUUUUAUAAAAAUACAGGGGGAAACUUAACCCGAAUAUUUCAGUCCCUCCCCGUAAUCGAUCUCUCCUACAUGCGAGGGCUUGAAUUCCUAACACGAUAAAAACUCUUCACGAAUCCUAGAUUUUGAUUGGUGCCCUGUAGAAGAGGUGACCAAUCAGCAAUUAGCUCAAUUUUAUCGAGAUAGGUAAAUACCGAGCUAAUUCCGAAUGGUUGAUUGAAGAUUUUUCAUGGCGUUAAUGUAGUAAGCGGAAUAUAACGACUGAAUUAUUCGGGUUAGGGGAAACGAUUCCUUAAUCAAAUUUACAUACCUAUCUAACCUGCAAAAGAUCUAAGAUCUUACAAGAACAAAAGGUGCUCAAAUUUACCUUAAGCUGAUGCUGAACACAUAUAUGUGGUAAGUCAUAUAUAGUUUACAAGUGCAUGAAGUGUAUGGUUGAUGUUUUAAAUAAUAACAUAACAUAGAAGUUUAAUAUGAUUUUCUAAUUUUGACAUUCCAAAAAGUUAUAUUCAAUUUCCUUAUAAAAAAAUUCGUAAGGGUUCCACGGAACCCAGUGUCUCGCCUACUUUUGCUGUUAAUCGCAGACUCAACAAAAAUGAGGAAAAACAUCAAUAAAAAUUUCCCUCUCGAUACUGUCUUUUGAUUGAAAGAAGCUUCCAAGUUUGGUAAAAAAUCC
rnacentral:lncRNA from 1 species